UCUUAUUUAUGCUCAUUUGGGAGAGCAAGAGACUCUUAAUCUCAGGGUCGUGGGUUUGAGCCCCAUAUUGUUCAAAAAGAU